rnacentral:lncRNA from 1 species
CUUGACUUGUUUCCGCAUCUCUUGCACGCCUCCUUCGCAUGACAUCUCUUUUUUCCGAUGUCCAAAAAUAUUUAGAAUUCGGAGACAAUCCUACUAGAGACUUGCUCAUAGUGUCACGAUCUGCUUGAGCCAUCAUUUCUUCUCGAAGCAAUUCAUUUUCUCGAUGAAGUGCUUCUCUAACCAGCUCGUUCUCUUGAUUAACUACUUCUCUUUGUCUCUCAGCCGCCGCAUCACGGGCCUCAGUAGCUGCUAAUAUUGCUGCCAUAGCAGCAACUUUUUCCUC